AUGGCGACGAUGGAGUUGGACACCACGCUACCGGCGGCCACACUUGAAGAGACGUGCUCCGCCAAGCUGGCGGCGAAGCAAGGCGAAGGUCUUAGGCACUAUUAUCUUCAACACAUUCAGGACCUCCAGCUUCAACUCCGCCUGAAAACUCACAAUCUCAAUCGUCUCGAAGCUCAGCGAAACGAGCUCAACUCUAGAGUGAGGUUGCUUCGUGAAGAACUUCAGCUGCUUCAGGAACCUGGAUCGUACGUUGGCGAAGUGGUCAAAGUCAUGGGAAAGAAUAAGGUUUUAGUGAAGGUGCAUCCAGAAGGGAAAUAUGUUGUUGAUAUAGAUAAAAGCAUUGAUAUCACAAAAAUCACCCCAUCAACUAGGGUUGCUCUUCGAAAUGACAGCUAUGUUCUUCAUUUAGUUCUGCCAAGCAAAGUCGAUCCAUUGGUGAAUCUUAUGAAAGUUGAAAAGGUCCCUGAUUCUACUUAUGACAUGAUUGGUGGUCUUGAUCAGCAAAUUAAGGAGAUAAAAGAGGUCAUUGAGCUUCCAAUCAAGCAUCCAGAAUUAUUUGAAAGUCUUGGAAUAGCUCAACCAAAGGGUGUCUUGCUAUAUGGCCCUCCUGGCACUGGGAAAACUCUUUUAGCUCGAGCAGUUGCACAUCAUACUGAUUGUACUUUCAUCAGGGUUUCUGGUUCUGAGUUGGUACAGAAGUACAUUGGAGAGGGUUCUAGAAUGGUUCGAGAACUUUUUGUGAUGGCCAGGGAACAUGCUCCAUCUAUCAUUUUCAUGGAUGAAAUUGACAGUAUCGGGUCGGCUCGUAUGGAAUCUGGGAGUGGUAAUAGUGAUAGUGAGGUGCAGAGAACAAUGCUAGAGCUUCUUAACCAGCUGGAUGGAUUUGAAGCAUCGAACAAGAUCAAGGUUCUGAUGGCCACAAAUCGAAUUGAUAUUCUCGAUCAAGCUCUUUUGAGACCUGGACGAAUAGAUAGAAAAAUUGAGUUCCCAAAUCCUAAUGAGGAGUCACGUUUCGAUAUCUUGAAAAUACACUCAAGAAAAAUGAAUUUAAUGCGGGGGAUUGAUUUGAAGAAGAUUGCUGAGAAGAUGAACGGCGCAUCCGGUGCCGAACUUAAGGCUGUUUGCACAGAAGCUGGAAUGUUUGCUCUAAGGGAAAGAAGGGUUCAUGUGACACAGGAAGAUUUCGAGAUGGCGGUUGCAAAGGUAAUGAAGAAGGAUACAGAUAAGAACAUGUCGCUGCGAAAGCUCUGGAAGUAGUAGAUCGAAGUUACCGUUCUACUCGACCCCAUUUGAGUACCUAUCCCUGUUUGGGAAUCAAAGGACGCGCCAUUGGCUGUGAUAGCAAUUCAAAAGAAUCUUCCCUCCAUAGAUCAGGUUGAAUGCUCGAUUAAGAGAUCAAUGGUUGAAUCUCCAAACCCUCCUUUACUCCCAACUAAGAGAACAUGGGUUGAUCGUCCAAAUCCACUUGCUUUCGAAAUAAGAGAUCUAGUUAAACUUUUGUACAUUCGCUCACUUCUAGUUAAGAUAUUAGAAGUUGAAUCUCCAAACCGAACAAAGAGAUUGAUAGGUGAAUGAUUGUUGGUGAAAAAGCAAAAUAAUAAAUUAUGGUAUGGAUUGCGGCCUCCCAUCUAACUGCAUGAAGAUGAUUGAAUU